AAAAAGAAUCAAGGCAGCCACUAUACAAACAUGAAUGCAAGGACCGCAGCAUGAUCUAUGAAAACACUUAAAGUAUGGUUUUAAAUGUAACCCAAAUUCAGCAGGAGUAUACACAGGAUUCUGAGUAACAAUAAGAUAUCCGAGCUGAAGAAUGGCUCAUUUUCUGGGUUAAGUCUCCUUGAAAGAUUGGACCUCCGAAACAAUCUUAUUAGUAGUAUAGAUCCAGGUGCCUUCUGGGGACUGUCAUCUCUAAAAAGAUUGGAUCUGACAAACAAUCGAAUAGGAUGUCUGAAUGCAGACAUAUUUCGAGGACUCACCAAUCUGGUUCGGCUAAACCUUUCGGGGAAUUUGUUUUCUUCAUUAUCUCAAGGAACUUUUGAUUAUCUUGCGUCAUUACGGUCUUUGGAAUUCCAGACUGAGUAUCUUUUGUGUGACUGUAACAUACUGUGGAUGCAUCGCUGGGUAAAGGAGAAGAACAUCACGGUACGGGAUACCAGGUGUGUUUAUCCUAAGUCACUGCAGGCCCAACCAGUCACAG
rnacentral:lncRNA from 1 species